GGGUCAUGGAGAGAGAUGGGGACAGAGAAGGGUCAUGGAGAGAGAUGAGGACAGAGAAGGUUAUGGAGAGAGAUGAGGAUAGAGAAGGGUCAUGGAGAGAGAUGAGGACAGAGAAGGUUAUGGAGAGAGAUGAGGACAGAGAAGGUUAUGGAGAGAGAUGAGGACAGAGAAGGUUAUGGAGAGAGAUGAGGACAGAGAAGGGUCAUGGAGAGAGAUGAGGACAGAGAAGGUCAUGGAGAGAGAUGACAGAGAAGGGUCAUGGAGAGAGAUGACAGAGAAGGGUUAUGGAGAGAGAUGGGGACAGAGAAGGGUCAUGGAGAGAGAUGGGGACAGAGAAGGGUCAUGGAGAGAGAUGGAGAGAGAUGAGGACAGAGAAGGUUAUGGAGAGAGAUGAGGACAGAGAAGG
ensembl:lncRNA